CAAACUGUGUACUCAGCAGUCUGUGUAUUCAGCAGUCUGCUAAAUACACAUACAGACAGACUGCCGAGCACACACACAAACUGCUUAAUACACACACAGAGAUGUUAAUUAGUUCAGACAACUGUAUGAGUUGUUUUUUCUAAACUUAAACCUCAAUAUUCAGGUUUAAUUGCCGUUUUGGCACUUUGAGGGAAAAAAAAAUUGGCAUGUAUUACGGUUUGGGCACUCGGGCUCAAAAAGGUUCGCCAUCACUGCUAUAGUGCAACAAUCAACCGCAACAGGGGCCUUAUACGAGGAACGUAUUGACAAAGCAUUUGAGUGAUUCUGGUCGCAGUUCUGGAAUAUGGGCAACACUCAACUGUUCCGAUGACCAACUCUCAC